UUUCCGUAGGUGAACCUGCGGAAGGAUCAUUACAAAAACACUUUUGGUAUCCAAAAGUUACUACCUGUCUACGCGAAUACUAUUGCUCCUUUGGCGGAUACCCGCCAAAGGAGAUUAACAAAAUAUUUUUAUUAAGCCGUAACGUCAAGAUCUAUAAUUAUUACAACUUUCAACAAUGGAUCUCUUGGUUCUGGCAUCGAUGAAGAACGCAGC
rnacentral:misc_RNA from 1 species